GCUGAGGCAACAGACUGUCAUGCCAACUCCCCAUAAAGUGUACUGGCUGCUGCCACAGUCAUUUCUGCAUUGGCAAGCUUUUUCAUUUCCAAAAGGAGACGGUAUAUUGGUGCAGCAAGAGAGCAUAAGUGAUCUCAGAACAAGGUCCAGAGGUUCCAUGUUGAAGCAACUGCCCUUCUGUCCCACAUGAUAGUGCACUGUUUCACAAAAAGGCUCCAGGGAGAACUGCUGCAGUGGAAAAACUGGAUAGCCACAACAGAAAAGUUGAGGAGCAUUUCAUUAAUGAGAGUGUGCAGCAAAGCAGUCAUGUCUCAUGUAAAAUGUUGAUCUAGAGCUACAAUUGUCCCUUGAUGUUAUGG